rfam:Paenibacillus polymyxa SC2 plasmid pSC2, complete sequence.
ACCCUCGUAAUUUAAUGGUUAGAAUAACCGCCUUUUAAGCGGUAGGUUGCAGGUUCGAGUCCUGUCGAGGGUA